UACGAAGGGUGCAAGCGUUAAUCGGAAUUACUGGGCGUAAAGCGUGCGUAGACGGCCUAUUAAGUCAGCUGUGAAAGCCCUGGGCUCAACCUGGGACGUGCAGCUGAUACUGGUGGGCUUUGAGUUUGAGAGAGGAUGGUGGAAUUCCUGGUGUAGCGGUGAAAUGCGUAGAGAUCAGGAGGAACACUAGUGGCGAAGGCGGCCAUCUGGCUUAAAACUGACGUUGAGGCACGAAAGCGUGGGGAGCAAACAGG
rnacentral:rRNA from 1 species